rnacentral:rRNA from 1 species
GACGAACGCUGGCGGCGUGCUUAACACAUGCAAGUCGAACGGUGAAGCGCUUUCCUUUUUGGUUGGUGUGGAUGAGUGGCGAACGGGUGAGUAACACGUGAGUAACCUGCCCCCUUCUUCUGGAUAACCGCAUGAAAGUGUGGCUAAUACGGGAUAUUCUGCGCCUGCUGCAUGGUGGGUGUGGGAAAGAUUGUGCCUUUGGGUGUGUUCGGUGGGGGAUGGGCUCGCGGCCUAUCAGCUUGCUGGUGGGGUGAUGGCCUACCAAGGCGGUGACGGGUAGCCGGCCUGAGAGGGUGGACGGUCACACUGGGACUGAGACACGGCCCAGACUCCUACGGGAGGCAGCAGUGGGGAAUAUUGCACAAUGGGCGCAAGCCUGAUGCAGCGACGCCGCGUGAGGGAUGGAGGCCUUCGGGUUGUGAACCUCUUUCGCCAGUGAAGCAGGCCUGCUCCUUGUGGGUGGGUUGACGGUAGCUGGAUAAGAAGCGCCGGCUAACUACGUG